GUAGGAUGCAAGCGUUGUCCGGAAUUAUUGGGCGUAAAGAGCGAGCAGGCGGUUCGACAAGUCAGAUGUAAAAUAUCCCGGCUUAACCGGGAGGGGCCAUUUGAAACUGUCGGACUAGAGUGGAGCAGAGGAUAGUGGAAUUCCCGGUGUAGUGGUGAAAUGCGUAGAUAUCGGGAGGAAUACCGAUGGCGAAGGCAGGUCUCUGGGCUGACACUGACGCUCAUGCACGAAAGCGUGGGGAGCAAACAGGAUUAGAUACCCUGGUAGUCCACGCCCUAAACGAUGUCGACUGGUUGUUGGGGGUUUGACACUCUCAGUAACGAAGCUAACGCGUGAAGUCGACCGCCUGGGGAGUACGGCCGCAAGGUUA
rnacentral:rRNA from 1 species